CACGGGGGGAGCAAGCGUUGUUCGGAAUCACUGGGCGUAAAGGGCGUGUAGGCGGUCAGGUAAGUGAGAUGUGAAAUGCCCCGGCUCACCCGGGGACCGGCAUCUCAUACUGCUUGGCUUGAGUACGGGAGAGGAUGUGGGAAUUCCUGGUGUAGCGGUGAAAUGCGUAGAUAUCAGGAGGAACACCGGUGGCGAAGGCGACAUCCUGGACCAACACUGACGCUGAGGAGCGAAAGCCAGGGGAGCAAACGGG
rnacentral:rRNA from 1 species